UUAAAAUAAAUUUAAUUAAUUUAUUAGCAUUAAAUUAUUAAAAUUAAUUAAAAUAAUAAUUUAUUUAAAAGUUAAAGUAUAUUGUAAAGAAAUAAUUAUUUAAUUUAUAGAAAUUAGUAUUGAAAAAGAUUAUUGAAAUAUUAGAAAAUAGAUUAAAGUAAAAGUAAAAUUAAUUUUUUUUAUCUUGUGUAUCAGAGUUUAUUUAAAAAAUAUUAAUAAAUUUAAUUUUCUUGAAAUUAAAAGAUUUAAUUAAUUAUAUUAGUUAUUGUUGAAUUAAUAUUAAAUAUAAUUAAUUUGAAAUGAAACGUUAUUCGUUUUUAAUUAUAUCUAGUUUUUUAAGAAAUAAAUUUAAUUUAGAUAUUUAUUAGUAUAAUUUUAAUCAAUUUAUUUUAUAUAGUUAAUAAAUAUUAAUAUUUUAAGGGAUAAGCUUUAAUUUAAAUUGUUAUAUUAAUUAUUUAAUUAAUAAAAAUUUUUAAAAUUAAAAUUGUUUAUUAAAUUUAGUUUAUUAUAAAAAAUUUUUAUAAAAUUUAAUUUAAAAUUAUUUAUUAAUAAAAUUCAUUAAAAAAUUUAUUAUAAUAAUAUUAAUAAAAUUUAUAUGAUAAAAUUAGUAUAAUAUUAAUAUAUAUAUAUAUAUAUAUAAUUUAGGUUAAUUUAAGGAAUUCGGCAAAUUAUAUAUAUAUAUAUAUUCGCUUGUUUAACAAAAACAUGUCUUUUUGAUUGAUAAUUUAAAGUCUAAUCUGCCCACUGAAUUUAAUUUAAAGGGCUGCAGUAUAUUGACUGUGCAAAGGUAGCAUAAUAAAUAGUUUUUUGAUUGAGAACUUGUAUGAACGAUUGAACGAAAUAUUUUCUGUCUCAAAUUAAUUUUUUUAAAAUUUAUUUUUUUAGUUAAAAAACUGAAAUAAAUUUAAAAGACGAGAAGACCCCAUAGAUCUUAUAUAUUUAUAUUAAUUUUAUAUAAUAUAAAAUUUUUAAAAAUUUAAUAUAAAUAUUUUUUUGGGGUGAAAUAAAAAUUAAAUUAACUUUAUAUUUAUAAAUGUUUACAUAAAUUAAUGAAUAUUUGAUCCAAUUAUAUUGAUUAAAAGAUUAAGUUACCUUGGGGAUAACAGCGUUAUAUUUUUUAUUAGUACUUAUUAUAAAAAAUGAUUGCGACCUCGAUGUUGGAUUAAAAUUAGUUUAAAAUGAAGAUGUUUUAAAUUUUAGUCUGUUCGACUUUUAUAUUUUACAUGAUCUGAGUUCAGACCGGCGUGAGCCAGGUUGGUUUCUAUCUUUAAAUAAUUAAAUUAUUAUAGUACGAAAGGACCCAAUAAUUAAAAUAAUUUUUUAUUAAUUGAAUAAAAUUAAUUAG
rnacentral:rRNA from 1 species